CAAAAACAUCACCUCCAGCAUUCCCAGUAUUGGAGGCAUUGCCUGCCCAGUGACAACUGUUUAACGGCCGCGGUAUCCUGACCGUGCAAAGGUAGCAUAAUCAUUUGUUCUCUAAAUAAGGACUUGUAUGAAUGGCCGCACGAGGGUUUUACUGUCUCUUACUUCCAAUCAGUGAAAUUGACCUUCCCGUGAAGAGGCGGGAAUGCACAAAUAAGACGAGAAGACCCUAUGGAGCUUUAACUAACCAACCCAAAGAGAAUAAAUUUAACCAUUAAGGAGUAACAACAAUCUCCAUGAGUUGGUAGUUUCGGUUGGGGUGACCUCGGAGAAUAAAAAACCCUCCGAGCGAUUUUAAAGACUAGACCCACAAGUCAAAUCACUCUAUCGCUCAUUGAUCCAAAAACUUGAUCAACGGAACAAGUUACCCUAGGGAUAACAGCGCAAUCCUAUUCAAGAGUCCAUAUCGACAAUAGGGUUUACGACCUCGAUGUUGGAUCAGGACAUCCUGAUGGUGCAACCGCUAUCAAAGGUUCGUUUGUUCAACGAUUAAAGUCCUAC
rnacentral:rRNA from 1 species